rnacentral:rRNA from 1 species
GAUGAACGCUGGCGGCGUGCCUAAUACAUGCAAGUCGAGCGAACAGACGGUGAGAUUGCGCCUCUGACGUUAGCGGGGGACGGGUGGGUAAGGAGUGGAUAACCUACCUAUUAUACUGGGAUAACUACGGGAGGCCAGAUAUGAUACUGCAGAAUAUGUUGAACGGCAUGAAGCAGUAGUGAAUGAGGGCUUUGGUGUCAGUAUGAGACGAAGCCGCAUUAGAUAGUUGGCAUGGUAAGGGACCACCAAGGCAACGAUGCGUAGCUGGCCUGAGAGGAUGAUCAGCCACACUGGAACUGAGACACGGUCCAGACUCCUACGGGAGGCAGCAGUGGGGAAUAUUCGACAAUGGGCGCAAGCCUGACCCAGCCACGCCGCGUGAGUGAUGAAGGUCUUCGGGUCGUAAAACUCUGUUAUUAGGGAAGAACAACUGUAUAAGUAACUACCCAUGUCCUGACGGUACCUAAACAGAAAGCCACGGCUAACUUCGUG